GGUUUAUUAGUAUAAUUUAGUAUGUUCGACUUCCAAUCGAGGGGUUAUUAAACUA
rnacentral:tRNA from 1 species